rnacentral:rRNA from 1 species
UAUACCUACGGGGGGCAGCAGUGGGGAAUCUUCCGCAAUGGGCGAAAGCCUGACGGAGCAACGCCGCGUGAUCGAAUGAAGGCCUUCGGGUUGUAAAGAUCUGUUGACAGGGACGAAUAAGCAAUGCGAAUAGUUUUGUGUAUGACGGUACCUGUUUAGAAAGCUCCGGCUAACUACGUGCCAGCAGCCGCGGUAAUACGGAGGAUGCGAGCGUUAUCCGGAUUUAUUGGGUUUAAAGGGUGCGUAGGCGGAAUGCCAAGUCAGCGGUAAAAUCGCGGGGCUCAACCUCGCUCCGCCGUUGAAAU